rnacentral:tRNA from 1 species
GGGGUUAUGGUCUAGUGGCAUGAUUUCUGUUUUGCAAUGCCCCAUGGGUCUUUCGCAUACAUACGGUCCCGCGUUCGAUCCGCGGUUGCUCCA